rnacentral:lncRNA from 10 species
GCUGGCGGAAGGCCUUGUCCAAAGCCGGCACUGCAGCACCGGUGCUCGAACGAGUGAGACAGAACGGGAGAAUUGGAGAAUCUCUGCGAGUGGAGACCAGGUUUUAUGGAAAGGAAGGAAAAAGUUGUGGCCCAAGAUGGGGGUGCUGGAGUUUAAGAUUUCACAGGAGACGUUUCAGGUAGAAUCUCUAGAAGGAAGGAGAAGGGAAGGAGGUGCUGAAGGCAGUAUCAUGAUCUGCUCAGGAGCUGGAAGGCUAAAGCUGACCCAGGGCCAGCCAGGCCUGUGAGUCCAGGGUCCCAUGGUUUAAGAUGUGAAGAUUUUUCUCCAGCUUCCCUACUUGUGCCGUGUGUGGAAAGGAGAAAAGCAACUAGCCUAAGGAACUGAAGAAAGUGCCAAGAAGAGAGUUGGAGCUGAAAAAGGCCCAAGAAACAAGAAGAGAGAAAAAUCAAAGAAAGAAAAAGUGGAAAAGAAAUGCAAGAGGGAAUUAACAUACGUGGGUGCAGACGUUAACAUCCAUGGGGCCCCUGAGGUGGAUCUCAGCAAUCCUCGCCACCCUUCCAGGGAGUGUUACUAUUUUAAGGAUGGGGCGUUGGGUACGGCGGCUCAUG